rnacentral:rRNA from 1 species
UACAGAGGGUGCGAGCGUUGUUCGGAAUUACUGGGCGUAAAGCGCGCGCAGGCGGCCUUUUAAGUCCGACGGUGAAAUGCCGGGGCUCAACCCCGUGCCCGCCGCGGAUACUGGGAGGCUGGAGACGAGUAGAGGCAAGCGGAAUUCCGGGUGUAGCGGUGGAAUGCGUAGAUAUUGGGAGGAACACCAGUGGCGAAGGCGGCUCACUGGACCGGAACUGACGCUGAGGCGCGAAAGCGUGGGGAGCAAACAGG